rnacentral:rRNA from 1 species
GACGAACGCUGGCGGCGUGCCUAAUACAUGCAAGUCGAACGAGUGGCGGACGGGUGAGUAAUGUCUGGGAAACUGCCCGAUGGAGGGGUAUCACUACUGGAAACGGUAGCUAAUACCGCAUACCAUCGGAUGUGUCCAGAUGGGAUGAGCUAGUAGGUGUGGUAACGGCUCACCUAGGCGACGAUCCCUAGCUGGGCUGAGAGGAUGAUCGGCCACACUGGAACUGAGACACGGCCCAGACGCCUACGGGAGGCAGCAGGGGGGAAUAUUGGACAAGGGGCGAAAGCCUGAUGGAGCGAUGCCGCGUGUAUGAAGAAGGCCUUCGGGUUGUAAAGUACUUUCAGUGGGGAGGCGGUACUCGCAGAAGAAGCACCGGCUAACUACGUGCCAGCAGCCGCGGUAAUAC